UGGGAAGAGUGAAUUCGGAAACUAAUGCGACCAUUUACAUACAAUAUACAUAUGAAUGUACAUAUGUAUGUAAAGACGGUUACAUCGAAUUCCGGUGGCAAAAUAGACUACAAUAAGAACGCUCAUGUUAACAGUGUAAACAGCGCAAACGCAAAAGAGCUGGAGCAAAAUGGGAGCGUAAACAGCGAGUUACGAAGUGGCAGUUCAUGCAUGACUACGCCACAUCAACAAUGGGUGAAAUAGGGUUGUACGAUACGCAACAAACCCUGCGAGAAUCUGUCAAUUAAAUUCAAACAAAUGCAAGUACUAUACGUACAUAUGUAUAGAUUCUUUUUCGUAUUCAGGACAAAUAAAGGAAGAUCGAAAUUUUACAUUAUCAUUUUGAAGUUAUAUCUGACGGCGUUCGAAUAUCGGACCACCUACAGCAGAAUAUAUAAAGAAAUAUGAAAUGUAAUAAAAUAAAGUAAAAAAAAAAAUAAA